rnacentral:rRNA from 1 species
CACGUAGGGGGCGAGCGUUGUCCGGAUUUAUUGGGCGUAAAGAGCUCGUAGGCGGCUCGGUAAGUCGGGUGUGAAACCUCCAGGCUCAACCUGGAGACGCCACCUGAUACUGCUGUGGCUAGAGUCCGGUAGGGGAGUGUGGAACUCCUGGUGUAGCGGUGAAAUGCGCAGAUAUCAGGAGGAACACCGAUGGCGAAGGCAGGUCUCUGGGCAUUAACUGACGCUGAGGAGCGAAAGCAUGGGGAGCGAACAGG